CCCAGUGUGUCUAAAACAUCGUUCGGAAAGUCAACAUUUCUGUAGAGUAGAGAAAGAUGAAUGGGAAAGGAAAUGUGCAUGUAAUUUAGGUUAUGUGUUUAUAUUUGACUUGGUUUUUGGUAGUUGCUAAGAGAUCACGGAGCUCUUUGAACCAAUGGGAGAUGAAAAUGCCCAGCAGCACUGCAGCUUCAUUUGAGUAACCUGUCAACCUUUCAGGCAGGAAAUAAAAGAAACUUCUUGUUUUGUACAACCACUAAUUUAAUUGCACUUAUUUUUUUAACCUAGAAAGAACGGUUUUAAAUGGGCUCAGAAGAAGAUGAGACACUCUUUUAGAGGGGUAGGUCAGUUGCUGGCUGUCAAACACAGUGAUGUCUUCUUAAUGCAGAAGUUCCUCACCACCCAUCCCCAGGACCAGAGGUGGUGGUUGGGGAUCCAGCAGCUGCCUGCCCCAGCCCCAUCAGUUCCCUGAGGAUCAUUAGCUGUCCUGAGGAUCCACUGCUGCCAGUGGUGCUCGUGUCUGCCUGCAGACUUCCCCUGCUGCUGUGCCCAACGGGUCACGGGGCACACAAUGAGGAGUGGCCACCAGCCCCCAUCAGUCACAGAAGAAUUCACCAUGGAAAGGGCACAGCUCAGGCAAGAAGUGAAGCCAGGUAUCAUCACGUACAGAGGAUUUGGAGAUGCACAGCCUUUGUUCACACUUAG
rnacentral:lncRNA from 12 species